rnacentral:rRNA from 1 species
AUGAACGCUAGCUACAGGCUUAACACAUGCAAGUCGAGGGGCAGCAUGGUCUUAGCUUGCUAAGGCCGAUGGCGACCGGCGCACGGGUGAGUAACACGUAUCCAACCUGCCGUCUACUCUUGGACAGCCUUCUGAAAGGAAGAUUAAUACAAGAUGGCAUCAUGAGUCCGCAUGUUCACAUGAUUAAAGGUAUUCCGGUAGACGAUGGGGAUGCGUUCCAUUAGAUAGUAGGCGGGGUAACGGCCCACCUAGUCUUCGAUGGAUAGGGGUUCUGAGAGGAAGGUCCCCCACAUUGGAACUGAGACACGGUCCAAACUCCUACGGGAGGCAGCAGUGAGGAAUAUUGGUCAAUGGGCGAGAGCCUGAACCAGCCAAGUAGCGUGAAGGAUGACUGCCCUAUGGGUUGUAAACUUCUUUUAUAAAGGAAUAAAGUCGGGUAUGGAUACCCGUUUGCAUGUACUUUAUGAAUAAGGAUCGGCUAACUCCGUGCCAGCAGCCGCGGUAAUACGGAGGAUCCGAGCGUUAUCCGGAUUUAUUGGGUUUAAAGGGAGCGUAGAUGGAUGUUUAAGUCAGUUGUGAAAGUUUGCGGCUCAACCGUAAAAUUGCAGUUGAUACUGGAUAUCUUGAGUGCAGUUGAGGCAGGCGGAAUUCGUGGUGUAGCGGUGAAAUGCUUAGAUAAGACGAAGAACGCCGAUUGCGAAGGCAGUCGGCUAAGCUGCAACUGAGAUUGAGGCUCGAAAGUGUGGGUAUCAAACAGGAUUAGAUACCCUGGUAGUCCACACGGUAAACGAUGAAUACUCGCUGUUUGCGAUAUACAGCAAGCGGCCAAGCGAAAGCGUUAAGUAUUCCACCUGGGGAGUACGCCGGCAACGGUGAAACUCAAAGGAAUUGACGGGGGCCCGCACAAGCGGAGGAACAUGUGGUUUAAUUCGAUGAUACGCGAGGAACCUUACCCGGGCUUAAAUUGCAGAUGAAUUACGGUGAAAGCCGUAAGCCGCAAGGCAUCUGUGAAGGUGCUGCAUGGUUGUCGUCAGCUCGUGCCGUGAGGUGUCGGCUUAAGUGCCAUAACGAGCGCAACCCUUGUUGUCAGUUACUAACAGGUUCCGCUGAGGACUCUGACAAGACUGCCAUCGUAAGAUGUGAGGAAGGUGGGGAUGACGUCAAAUCAGCACGGCCCUUACGUCCGGGGCUACACACGUGUUACAAUGGGGGGUACAGAGGGCCGCUACCACGCGAGUGGAUGCCAAUCCCCAAAACCUCUCUCAGUUCGGACUGGAGUCUGCAACCCGACUCCACGAAGCUGGAUUCGCUAGUAAUCGCGCAUCAGCCACGGCGCGGUGAAUACGUUCCCGGGCCUUGUACACACCGCCCGUCAAGCCAUGGGAGCCGGGGGUACCUGAAGUGCGUAACCGCGAGGAGCGCCCUAGGGUAAAACUGGUGACUGGGGCU